UACAUAUAAUUUAAAGUGAAUUGGCUACUCUCUUGAUUUUUAAUAUUUUUUUGAAUUUUUUAAAAAACAAGUCCUAUAACUGGCUUAUUUCAUGGCAGAAAAUCACCAAAAUGUCUGGAACUGAAGCCGCUCCUUGGACCAUCAUUCCACCCUCAACUGGAGGAAUCUAUCCUUUGUCUUCAUAAAAAAGGGUUCAUCUAAACCAAGAGUGACCAGCCAAGCACCCCCAGGAAGCUCAUAAGGAGAGAAUGACAGAGAGAACUAUUCCUUGCCUGUGUUCUCUGCUCUUGGCGAUCAACAAGAAUUUGCUUAUUUACAGGUUUAGAAGCAGAGUGUCACUGGGGGCAAAGAUCAGACAGUCCCACAGGGCAGCCGGAUUUGCUACUUCACAUCAGAUCCCGAAAGACAGGCCCUGCACCCUCAAGGGAAUGAACAAUCACAAGGAGAACGGAAAAUUUCCUUUCAGUGCCUGCUUCUCCAGAGACUUCCUUUUUUAUUCAUACAAUCCUUAUAACUACCGUGGCAUUUUAUGAUAAAAAAAUAAACUGUACCCCGAGGUAAUGUUUCCCCUCUGAUAGAUUAUAUAACAUGGUGAAAUUGGUCAUUAUGGACUGCAAUUCUUUAUGACUUAAGAGACCAUUAGUUUAAUUCCUUCUGAAAGAAGAUGUGAUGGAGGACUUUAAAAUGGACUGAGUUGGGCCCAUUAAAGGAUGCUGUAUUACAACUGUGGCUUUGUAUUCCAGUGCCACAUAUUAGGCAUUAAGAGACAAUUAUAUUUGUGCUCCUGAUAUUUCCUGUGAUCGGAGGUUGCAGUCAGUAGA